GGGGAAUUUUCCGCAAUGGGCGAAAGCCUGACGGAGCAAGACCGCGUGGGGGAUGAAGGUUUGUGGAUUGUAAACCCCUUUUGAUUGGGAAGAAUACUGACGGUACCAAUCGAAUAAGCCUCGGCUAACUCCGUGCCAGCAGCCGCGGUAAUACGGAGGAGGCAAGCGUUAUCCGGAAUUAUUGGGCGUAAAGCGUCCGCAGGUGGUUUAUCAAGUCUGCUGUCAAAGAGUUUGGCUCAACCAAAUAAAGGCAGUGGAAACUGACAGACUGGAGUGCGGUAAGGGCAGAGGGAAUUCCUGGUGUAGCGGUGAAAUGCGUAGAGAUCAGGAAGAACACCGGUGGCGAAAGCGCUCUGCUGGGCCGUAACUGACACUGAGGGACGAAAGCUAGGGGAGCGAAUGGGAUUAGAUACCCCAGNUAGUC
rnacentral:rRNA from 1 species